AGUGAACGCUGGCGGUAGGCCUAACACAUGCAAGUCGAACGGCAGCACAGUAAGAUCUUGCUCUUACGGGUGGCGAGUGGCGGACGGGUGAGGCAUACAUCGCAAUCUACUUUUUCGUGGGGGAUAACGUAGGGAAACUUACGAUAAUACCGCAUACGACCUACGGGUGAAAGCAGUGGAUCUUCGGACCUUGCGUGAUUGAAUGAGCCGAUGUCGGAUUAGCUAGUUGGCGGGGUAAAGGCCCACCAAGGCGACGAUCCGUAGCUGGUCUGAGAGGAUGAUCAGCCACACUGGAACUGAGACACGGUCCAGACUCCUACGGGAGGCAGCAGUGGGGAAUAUUGGACAAUGGGCGCAAGCCUGAUCCAGCCAUACCGCGUGGGUGAAGAAGGCCUUCGGGUUGUAAAGCCCUUUUGUUGGGAAAGAAAAGCAGCAGGUUAAUACCCCGCUGUUCUGACGGUACCCAAAGAAUAAGCACCGGCUAACUUCGUG
rnacentral:rRNA from 1 species